GGCCCCGUAGCUCAGAGGACAGAGCGGGAGCCUUCGAAGCUCCGUGCGGUGGUUCGAUUCCACCCGGGGCCG
rnacentral:tRNA from 1 species